AUUGAACGCUGGCGGCAUGCUUUACACAUGCAAGUCGAACGGUAACAGGCCUUCGGGCGCUGACGAGUGGCGAACGGGUGAGUAAUGCAUCGGAACGUGCCCAGUCGUGGGGGAUAACGCAGCGAAAGCUGCGCUAAUACCGCAUACGAUCUGUGGAUGAAAGCGGGGGACCGUACGGCCUCGCGCGAUUGGAGCGGCCGAUGUCAGAUUAGGUAGUUGGUGGGGUAAAGGCUCACCAAGCCGACGAUCUGUAGCUGGUCUGAGAGGACGACCAGCCACACUGGGACUGAGACACGGCCCAGACUCCUACGGGAGGCAGCAGUGGGGAAUUUUGGACAAUGGGGGCAACCCUGAUCCAGCAAUGCCGCGUGCAGGAAGAAGGCCUUCGGGUUGUAAACUGCCUUUGUACGGAACGAAACGGCUCUGGUUAAUACCUGGAGCUAAUGACGGUACCGUAAGAAUAAGCACCGGCUAACUACGUGCCAGCCGCCGCAGUAAAAC
rnacentral:rRNA from 1 species